rnacentral:lncRNA from 1 species
UUCCAUUUGUCCAGCUCUUCUAGUAAACAUCUUUCCUGAUAUAUCAGCUCCUGAGAAAGAAAAUUAUUUUGCAUUUGUAACUGUAGAAUGUCAAGUUUCUCCCUUGUUUGGAUAAUCUGUUGUUUGUACUUGGCUAAAUGAUCAUUUAACCCCUUUAAUUCCUGCUUCACCAUCUUCAGCUUGCUCCAGAUCUGUUGCAUGUGUGAUCCUUGAUACUCCUUCUCCCAGA